rnacentral:lncRNA from 1 species
AAGAAACCAGCUCAGUACUGUUUUCAGCAUCAGCAAGGUAAACAGUAUAUAAAGGCUCUUCAUUCUGUGUAACAGCACAACUUGCAUGAGCAGAUCAACCAUCACUGAAAAUGGGAAAGGUAAGAUGAUCUGAAUAUUGUAAAUAUUUGCAACACAAGAAAUUUUGGAAACAAUAAACAUAUUUCUUUUUUUAAAAUGAACCAAACAAAUUCAAAUUUGAAAUGCUUACACUGAAUGCCAGCAAACUUUAUCCUAUACAAUAUAUCCUAUCCUAUCCAAUAUACUGUGGUGAGUUUAUCUAGGCCAGAAACAUGACAACAUAAUAUUCCAUAAACUAGUUUUGGACAUUUGCCGCCUCAUCAAAUACAAAUUCAUCAGAACACAUGCUUCACAUGUUUACUUUUUUCAGACUCAAGAUUAAGAUUUUUUCAGUUUUUGAAAGUACUUUCUAGUGAAUGCCACUAUUAACCGUAAUAAAUUGCUAUAAUUAUGUGAAAGUGAAUGCAAGUUCACCAAUCUAAAAAAACACAAAAUGUACCAAAAACAUAUAUUCCAAUUCGGUCCUAAACUUAGAUGUUUAACACCUACACUUUAUUAUUUGAACAGGAUAAUAGUGGAUGUUUUUAGGAAUCUAUAGCAUCAAGUAAUCAAACCAGUAACUAUUUUUUAAAUGAAAUUAUUAACCACUAAAACAAUAAUAAACUAAAAAAUCUAAAAUGUUCAAAUGCAUGGUUGUUUCACAGAUUGUCUUCUACGAGGAUCGUAACUUCCACGGCCGCUCUUAUGAGUGCAACUCUGAGUGUCCAGAUAUGUCCUCAUAUUUUCAGCGCUGUAAUUCCAUCCGAGUGGAAAGUGGAAACUGGAUUCUGUAUGAGCACCCCAACUAUAGAGGACACCAGUAUUACCUUAGCAGGGGAGAAUAUCCUAAUUUCCAGCAAUGGAUGGGUUUCAAUGACUCCAUCAGAUCUUGUCGUAUUAGCCCACAGGUAAAGAUAUUUACCAAAAUAGUUAAGAACCUUACAUAAAUAUGAUGCAGUACAAAAAAACAUUAUUUUCCAAUUAUCAAUUAUUAUAGGUUUACCUUUGCAAAUAUGACCUUUUUUGACUACUAUUCAUUAUUUUAUGGAAUAUAUCUUCAAUUCACAAUUCCAUUGUCAGGUAACAGGUGGGUUAACAUGGAUAAAAAAAAAUAUAUAUAUAUUCCCGUAUAGAUUUUUGAUGUUUACAUGCAAUUAUACAAUUAUUUUACUCUUGUUUAUAAAUAUUUUUUUCUUCGUAAAGCACCAUGGAUCAUUCAGAGUAAAGGUCUAUGAGAGGGAGGAUUUCCGAGGUCAGAUGAUGGAGUUCACUGAAGAUUGUGUUAAUGUCAAUGAGAGAUUCCGUUACCAUGACAUCCACUCCUGCCAGGUGAUUGAUGGCUACUGGAUGUUCUAUGAGGAACCAAAUUACAAAGGACGCCAGUAUUACCUGAGACCUGGAGAGUACAAAAGAUAUACUGACUGGGGUGCCAUGAGCCCAAGAAUUGGCUCAUUCAGGAGACUUCAUCAUUUCUAAUAAGUUGUAUUUAUUACUAAAUCAGCAUAUCAUUAAGAAUAUAAUAAAAGCUUCAAAAAAUAUCUUUAAGGUCUA